UACGAAGGGGGCUAGCGUUGUUCGGAAUUACUGGGCGUAAAGUGUGCGCAGGCGGCCGCGCAAGUCGAGUGUGAAAGCCCCGAGCUCAACUUGGGAACUGCAUUUGAAACUGGCGGGCUGGAGUGUGGCAGAGGGGGGUGGGAAUUCCACGUGUAGCAGUGAAAUGCGUAGAGAUGUGGAGGAACACCGAUGGCGAAGGCAGCCCCCUGGGCCAACACUGACGCUCAGGCACGAAAGCGUGGGGAGCAAACAGG
rnacentral:rRNA from 1 species